GUUCCAACUGUUAUGAGAAAAUUAGAAAAAAAUUAUAAAAUCAUCCCUCUAAGUUUGAGUUAUUUAUAUUUAAAUCCUAAAAGUUUAAAAAAUAUCAACUUGAUUCCAAAACUUUAAAAUCGUUGCAAUGUCGUCUAGCUGUCUAUCUUCAUUAGCGAACGUUAUCACGUGAUGGUUAUUUGAUAGCUGAUUUUUUAUAAAAUUUUAUAAUUGCUCUUUUCACUACCUUAGCAAAAGACUCUUAUUUUUGUGAGAAUUGAAAAGAAGGAAAGUAACAUUUUAACAUCUGUGGGGGCAAAUCAAGGACAAAAAUUAAAUGCUUUAAGAUUUAUGCAAGCAUAUAAAUGACAAUAGAUGGAGCUCUUUAAGAUUUAUAUAGGCUGAUGAAUGAAAAUAGUUGGAUGCCUUAAGAUCAUUGUGUAAAUGAUGAAGUGCUUUGAGAUCUAUAAAAAUGGAUGGAUGAUGGAGAAUGAGCCACUUUGAGAUUUGUACAUGCAGAUAGAUGAUAAAAGAUGGAGCACUUCAAAAUCCAUAUAAGUGGAUGAAUGAGAGGAUGGAGCGCUUCGAGAUUUGUAUAAACAAAUAUAUGAUAGAAAAUGAAGUGCUUUGAAUCUGUAUAAGUAGAUGGAUGAUAAAGGUGCACAUCCAGAUUUGUGCAAGCGAAUAGAUGAUAGAGGAUAUAGUACUUUAAGAGUUAUAUAGGCCAAUGAAUGAUUGAGGAUAGAGUACUUCAAGAUCUAUGCAAGUGGAUAUUCAAGAUCUAUGCAAGUGGAUAGACAAUAGUAAAUGGAGUGCUUUCAGAUUUGUGUGGGCAAAUGGAUGAUAAAUAUUAGAUGAUAUAGAAUUAAGUACUUUGAGAUAUGUGCAGAUGGAUAGAUAACAGAGAAUAAAGCACUUUGAGUAUGUGCCAGU
rnacentral:lncRNA from 1 species